UACAGAGGGUGCGAGCGUUGUCCGGAAUCACUGGGCGUAAAGGCGCGUAGGUGGCCUGAUAAGUAGGGGGUGAAAUCUCGAGGCUCAACUUCGAGGCUGCCUCCUAAACUGUCAGGCUUGAGCAGAGUAGAGGCAGGUGGAAUUCCCGGUGUAGCGGUGGAAUGCGUAGAGAUCGGGAAGAACAUCGGUGGCGAAGGCGGCCUGCUGGGCUAUGGCUGACACUGAGGCGCGACGAGCGUGGGGAGCAAACAGG
rnacentral:rRNA from 1 species